CAACUGUUGGGCCUCUGCUUAGGGGUUAUGUUUUGUUCUGGGCUUCCUAGUUGAAGACUCUGAAUAGUAGACAGAUGGUUCUACUGUACUGGAUUAGGUUAGACCAGAAUCAGUGAAGAUAAAGAGUUGAAUUUACAGCAAGGUCUGAGUAGACCAGUGGUACUUUUGUAGGACUGACCAAACCUGCUGCAGCAGAACUGAUGUCAUGGAACUGGAGCAGGUAGCUACAUGGUGAAGUAGGCUCUGGUGGUGCAGACUUUGCUCAGCUUGAGCAUGAGGACAGGGAGCGCUCCAUGAUGUCUUUGACUACUGCUGACUCUAAUUGAACUCAUGUUCCAGCAAACAUGAUUAUUGGCCUGCACGUGCUCCAUCACAGCAGACAUAAACUCAGUGUUGCAGAAAGUCAAUUUCAAGUUCAUAAUUUAUUCAGGCUUAGACAGCGCACAAGAGACAAAAGACUGACAGAACAAACAGGGAGAGAACGUUUUUUUGCUGCUGUGGCCUGGUACAAUGAGGCAUCCCUAUAGGUCCUGGCUAAUUUUAAUAGACAUAUGAUGGAACACAGAAAGAUUUUAUUCACGAUGAAAUGGUGGAAGAGGGCCACAUGCCACAGAGAGGCCCAGGAGUGUAAUGCACAAAUCUAUUGGAUGUUCUGCUGUGGGAUGGCCUAUGUACUUCCUUCAGCCACUGGUCAGAGCAACAUACUGUUUCCAGCGCUAAGCAGCAAUCUACAUUACAUGCACAUACUGAUUUCUUUCUGCUGGAGAGAACAAGUCUUUUAAACUCCCGCUGUCCUAAAAAAGCAGAACAUCUGCUGGACUUAUUGGCUACUGCUGAGCUUGAAGUCGCUUGAUCAACUCUGCUAUAACCAAUACAAGGUAAACUCUGCAAAGCAUGUUAACUGUCUACCCUACUGAUGUAAAUAAACAACCCAAAGGUACUCUACCCAAUUAACAUUUAA